rfam:Anolis carolinensis unplaced genomic scaffold chrTn0013, whole genome shotgun sequence.
AGAUGUGAGGGCGAUCUGACUGCAACAUCUGUCACCCCAUUGAUCGCCAGGGUUGAUUCGGCUAAUCUGGCUGGCUAGGCGGGUGUCCCCUUCCUCCCUCACCGCUCCAUGUGCAUCCCUCCUGAAGCUGCACGCUCGGUGGAAGAGGACAACGUCCCAGGUAUAGGAGUGUACCGAGGUCUCCAGUCUUCGGUCCCAGGUAUACGAUAGCUGUGCUCCCCUGCUAGAACCUCCAAACAAGCUCAAAGACUUGAGGUCUUAAGGUGUUUACAUUCUCCUGCUGACGGCAGAAAGUUUAAAAUUGUUGUUUUCAUCUAUUCAUUUUAUGUUAUGUUCAUCUAUAUGCUGUU